rnacentral:rRNA from 1 species
UACGGGGGGGGCAAGCGUUGUUCGGAAUUACUGGGCGUAAAGGGCUCGUAGGCGGCCAACUAAGUCAGACGUGAAAUCCCUCGGCUUAACCGGGGAACUGCGUCUGAUACUGGAUGACUUGAGAUUGGGAGAGGGAUGCGGAAUUCCAGGUGUAGCGGUGAAAUGCGUAGAUAUCUGGAGGAACACCGGUGGCGAAGGCGGCAUCCUGGACCAACACUGACGCUGAGGGAGCGAAAGCCAGGGGAGCAAACGGG